GACGCCUUGAUGAAUUUAAAGAAUGUGCUGAACAAGAAAAGGACGAUUCAUGCCUAAAAUUCUUCAACGAAAUCGCUAAGAUUAACUGCCUACAGGUCGACAAUUGCACAAAUUCCUACAAAACAAUUUGCCCCGAAGCUGAAAAACUCCAUCCCAUACGUAACCCAGACACGGAUUACUGCGAUCGUUUGCGCAUAUAUGAAACGUGUGCUACUACAAAGAAAGACAAAUGCAAACAGCAUUUCAACGAACUCUUUCUGGCAAUGUGU